rnacentral:tRNA from 1 species
ACAAAAGAAGCGAAAUAUUGCAUUCAGUUUCGGCCUGAAUUUUGAGUAAUCCUUUUGUA